rnacentral:rRNA from 1 species
UAAGACCGGCGAAAGCCGGAUUAAUACCGCAUACGAUCCACUUGUAUGAAAGCGGGGGACCUUCGGGCCUCGCGCUAUAGGGUUGGCCGAUGGCUGAUUAGCUAGUUGGUGGGGUAAAAGCCUACCAAGGCGACGAUCAGUAGCUGGUCUGAGAGGACGACCAGCCACACUGGGACUGAGACACGGCCCAGACUCCUACGGGAGGCAGCAGUGGGGAAUUUUGGACAAUGGGCGAAAGCCUGAUCCAGCAAUGCCGCGUGUGUGAAGAAGGCCUUCGGGUUGUAAAGCACUUUUGUCCGGAAAGAAAUCCUUGGCUCUAAUACAGUCGGGGGAUGACGGUACCGGAAGAAUAAGCACCGGCUAACUACGUGCCAGCAGCCGCGGUAAUACGUAGGGUGCAAGCGUUAAUCGGAAUUACUGGGCGUAAAGCGUGCGCAGGCGGUUUGCUAAGACCGAUGUGAAAUCCCCGGGCUCAACCUGGGAACUGCAUUGGUGACUGGCAGGCUAGAGUAUGGCAGAGGGGGGUAGAAUUCCACGUGUAGCAGUGAAAUGCGUAGAGAUGUGGAGGAAUACCGAUGGCGAAAGCAGCCCCCUGGGCCAAUACUGACGCUCAUGCACGAAAGCGUGGGAGCAAACAGGAUUAGAUAC